rnacentral:rRNA from 1 species
GGGAGUCGGAUAUUGGGCGUAAGCGCGCGCAGGCGGUCUCUUAAGUCUGAUGUGAAAGCCCACGGCUCAACCGUGGAGGGUCAUUGGAAACUGGGGGACUUGAGUGUAGGAGAGGAAAGUGGAAUUCCACGUGUAGCGGUGAAAUGCGUAGAUAUGUGGAGGAACACCAGUGGCGAAGGCGACUUUCUGGCCUACAACUGACGCUGAGGCGCGAAAGCGUGGGGAGCAAACAGGAUUAGAUACCCUGGUAGUCCACGCCGUAAACGUUGAGUGCUAGGUGUUAGGGGUUUCGAUGCCCUUAGUGCCGAAGUUAACACAUUAAGCACUCCGCCUGGGGAGUACGGCCGCAAGGCUGAAACUCAAAGGAAUUGACGGGGGCCCGCACAAGCAGUGGAGCAUGUGGUUUAAUUCGAAGCAACGCGAAGAACCUUACCAGGUCUUGACAUCCUCUGACCACCCUGGAGACAGGGCUUUCCCCUUCGGGGGACAGAGUGACAGGUGGUGCAUGGUUGUCGUCAGCUCGUGUCGUGAGAUGUUGGGUUAAGUCCCGCAACGAGCGCAACCCUUAAUCUUAGUUGCCAGCAUUCAGUUGGGCACUCUAAGGUGACUGCCGGUGACAAACCGGAGGAAGGUGGGGACGACGUCAAAUCAUCAUGCCCCUUAUGACCUGGGCUACACACGUGCUACAAUGGAUGGUACAAAGGGCAGCGAGACCGCGAGGUUAAGCGAAUCCCAUAAAGCCAUUCUCAGUUCGGAUUGCAGCUGCAACUCGCCUGCAUGAAGCCCGGAAUUGCUAGUAAUCGCGGAUCAGCAUGCCGCGGUGAAUACGUCCCAGCUGAUCCCCCCCCCCCGCCGUACAAUAUUGGGAGGGGCGGCUUUCAGGGGUAGAACACUAAGAGA